rnacentral:rRNA from 1 species
GACGAACGCUGGCGGCGUGCUUAACACAUGCAAGUCGAACGGAAAGGCCCUGCUUUUGUGGGGUGCUCGAGUGGCGAACGGGUGAGUAACACGUGAGUAACCUGCCCUUGACUUUGGGAUAACUUCAGGAAACUGGGGCUAAUACCGGAUAGGAGCUCCUGCUGCAUGGUGGGGGUUGGAAAGUUUCGGCGGUUGGGGAUGGACUCGCGGCUUAUCAGCUUGUUGGUGGGGUAGUGGCUUACCAAGGCUUUGACGGGUAGCCGGCCUGGGAGGGUGACCGGCCACAUUGGUACUGAGAUACGGACCAGAAUCGUACGGGAGGCAGCAGUGGGGAAUAUUGCACAAUGGGCGGAAGCCUGAUGCAGCAACGCCGCGUGCGGGAUGACGGCCUUCGGGUUGUAAACCGCUUUCGCCUGUGACGAAGCGGGAGUGACGGUAAUGGGUAAAGAAGCACCGGCUAACUACGUG